CGCCGCUCCAGCUCGCCGCCGCGCCGGACGCCGGACGCCGCGUGUUACGCGCUCUGUAACCGACUACCAGGCCACCAGAAGCUGUGAGGAGAUUUAACCGCCGACCAACUUCGUGGAAAACGGUAAUUAACCGGCAUUCCAAAAUUAAUAAGCCUGCAGCCAGCAUAAAUCGGUGCUGAUUGGUUGCAAGCGCUGAAGAGGGACGGAUGAAUUUAACUACUAAG